rnacentral:sRNA from 1 species
UUUGAAAGGAAGAAUCCUGGAACCUCCCACAGCUGUGAAAAUGAGACCACUUUGGCUGCUUCACUCUUUAUACAGAGAAGGAAAGACCUGGCCUCCCAGUGCAACGUCAGCUUAAAGAAGCAGAGGAGCCGCAGCAUCCUUAGCUCCUUCUUCUGCUGCUUCCGUGAUUACAAUGUGGAGGCCCCUCCACCCAGCAGCCCCAGUGUGCUUCCGCCACUGGUGGAGGAGAAUGGUGGGCUUCAGAAGGGUGACCAGAGGCAGGUCAUUCCCAUACCAAGUCCACCAGCUAAGUACCUUCUUCCAGAGGUGACGGUGCUUGACUAUGGAAAGAAAUGUGUGGUCAUUGAUUUAGAUGAAACAUUGGUGCACAGUUCGUUUAAGCCUAUUAGUAAUGCUGAUUUUAUUGUUCCGGUUGAAAUCGAUGGAACUAUACAUCAGGUGUAUGUGCUGAAGCGGCCACAUGUGGACGAGUUCCUCCAGAGGAUGGGGCAGCUUUUUGAAUGUGUGCUCUUUACUGCCAGCUUGGCCAAGUAUGCAGACCCUGUGGCUGACCUCCUAGACCGCUGGGGUGUGUUCCGGGCCCGGCUCUUCAGAGAAUCAUGUGUUUUU